rnacentral:lncRNA from 10 species
AACUUGACAUGUUUGAGGAGCAGCAAGGUUUCUGAUGGCAGGAGGGAGGCGGUCUAUCUUCACUGCGGAUGGCGAGGUGCCUUUUGGAGGAGGAGGAUGGAGAGAAAGGGUCUCCAACAGCGAACCUUUGUCCUGCAAUGCAAAUGAACCUCUGCAAAACAGGGCGCAGACAAUGCCAGCCUAGUCCUCUGCGCGAAGCGAUCCAUCUGCAGCUAUUUUGUUAACCUGAUGUUUCUUACAUUCUUUCUCUCAUACAAAAUACUUGAUUUUGACAGCUGUGAAUUUUAAACAACCAUUCUGUGUAUGUUUUUCUAAUUUUGUGUAUUCAGAUUGUUUCUCCAUAUUGGGGGGGUUGGAAGCCAAGUACUUUACAUUCCUUCGUUUAGAGAUUUCAUGCUUUUCGAAAGUCGUGGCGGUUCUGAUCGCUAAACAAAGUAGAAAUGAAGUGUGCUCACCAGCAGCAUUGGAAUGACCGGGGAGUGCAGAAGCACUUUUGAAAUAAAAAAGGUUGCACAAGCGGACUGGAGGCAGGGCUCAGGAGUGACACAUCACUCAGUCACACUCUGGUGGCCCCAGGAAGCUGCGUCUGCCCUCACUUACCUGUAAAAUGGGGCUGCAACAACAUUCUCACAAGGCAGAAAAUAAAGAUCUCAUAUAUCCAGGUCCAUCAACCCAGUUUUAUUUCCCCUUUCCAGCUCUAGUUACAUUGUUCUGGCAGCCAAUCUUUCUUCUUAGGUAGCAUGCAAAGGCAUGGAUUUGUUUUUAAGCAUGAAGGAAAACAAAACGUGCUCUCAGACUGAGGCUAGCGUUGAUAAGACACCACAAUUGGGUGCAUGGUUUUAAAACUGGUUUAUUUAUUUAUUUAUACCUUUGCCUCACCGAUAGAAGGCAGUUCACCACCCAAACCACAAAUGAUAAAAACAAAAACUCUGGACAAGAAAAAAGGAAGCUGCAAAUAGGGCAAUUAUAAGGCUCAUUUUGUUUGCUACCACUGAGCUUUGAAAUCUGACUCACAGCUUCCUGGCAGCAAGAGUGAAAAGGGGAUGACGAUUAAUGACAAAGCCUCACUUCACUGGAGUAUACAGUUCUUCAAAGGAGAGAAGAAUUUUCCAGAUGCUUCAUUUUCAAAUAAAUUCUGCACUCAGGGCUCUUUAUAACGGGUCAAUGAGAACAGAAGUUCGCUGUCAACUGUGAGAGCAAACAGAGCUGCAAAAUUGCCAGGGCCAGAGCAAAAAAGUGAAGCAAAGGGGCACCUGUCUAGUGCCCAUUCCAGUUGUCUGGUGGUGGGCUCACAAAGUCUUAUCUUGAGAAGGAUUCAAGACCACAUCUAAGCUGGGCAAAAAAGAGGCUACACUAUGUUAGAGAUGCCUGCCAUAGGCAGAGGGCAGAUGAUGGCCCACACGUGUGCUGAAUAACUCCUAACCUUGGCUAAAUAAAUACAGCACAAAUGAGCAGGUUUCUGGUCUCCAACUUGAUCCAAAGAUAGAGCUCUAGGGGUUUAGUAGACUGGAUGGCAAUCAGGAUUUUUAGAUGUCCCUGAAUAACACUUUUCUCAGCUGGGACUCUGAGAGGAGGUAGAAGGCUGAUUGGAGUUUCUAUCAAUGCUUUGAAGGCAAAGCAAGCAGAUGGUGGGCUUGACAGCCGAAACUGUAGAAGCCUGAGCUGCAAACACACCCGAUUCAGGGCUGUACCACCUCCACACAGGCAUGGACCAGAUACUCUUUUUUUGUAAUUUGUAAGAUAU